GAGAAAGAAUGAUCUCUAUAGUCUUUCUUCCAAUGUUUCCUUCGAAGUUAAGAGCAUGCCAUAUAAAGUACAGCCAGCAAAGCUCCCCACGGGAAGCAUAGCAAUCAGAACAUCUGUCAUUUGGUCCACCCCAAAUGUCUCCUUUGAAAUCCCUUUAUGGGUUAUAAUACUAGCCAUACUUCUUGGACUACUAGUACUAGCUCUGCUGACCCUAGCUUUAUGGAAGUGCGGCUUCUUUGACAGAGCUAGACCUCCUCAAGAUGACAUGGCUGACAGGCAACAGCUGACAAAUAACAAGACUACUGAUGCAUAAAGGAAGAGAGUGACAGUUCAAGUCAGAAUCCUGCCUGAGACUAGAAACACAAUGAGGAUUAAAUGAAGGAUUCCUUCCACCAGCCUUCCUUUGUGCCUACAAGCGACACGGUGCCAUAGUCUGAUCUAUGCAAUGUUCUGAUAACAUGCCACAUGACGGCCAUCCUUGCCAAAGAAAGCAGCUUUAUCACUGCCUUACAAAGAUAUUCACCACUGAACAGAAUGUUUAUCCCGUAUUUCCAGCCAGAUGCCUUUGAACACGUGUGGUAUACUGAGAUGGUUCCAGAACAAGCCCCGAUCUCUCAAAGAGAGAAAACCUUCAUUGCUGUUUUGUCUAGAAGAUGGACCAGGACAAACCUUCUAAAUGCUACUGUAUCAUACAGAAUACCUUUGAACCUCCCUAAGGAUAAGAACUUGUAUGAAAUUAUUGCUCAGGGAGACACGCAGUGUAUCAGUACUGUGACAGUACUUCUGAAAAACAAAGGUAGUCUAUAAAGAACUUUAUAGAUGGGAUACAAUUAUUUAUUUUUCCACCUUUUUAGAAUAAGUAUCUGUUAUAAUAAUCAACAUAGAUUUUGAGAGAAGAAAGUAAAAAAAAAUAGAAAUCGUGUCCUUACUUUGCAUGUAAAUAGAAAAGUAAACCCACUGUACACACAGAACACAACUUUCUUGGCUACAAGGUGUUUUGCAAAGCAGAUGAUUUAUGCAACACUUUAUGAGAUGAGACAUAUGACAAACAAGUACAUGUUGUAUCUCUUUCAGCCCAGAGCUGGCAGUAUCCCACCCGGAUAACUAAAUCCAUGCACAGCGUAGAGCAGGGAAUGAGUUACCCUGUUCUUGUCUUGCUGUACAGCCGACACAGGAUACAGUCAUUUCUGAAACACAGUUUUAAGUUAUCACAGCCACACGGGUGAUAUUGCAAAGUCUUAGGGGGUUGGGGCUGGGGUAAAUUUUCUUUUCCAUUGCUCUGUUACUUUGUUGAAAUUGCCUCUUAAAAUGGCUACUCACAAUCUUGAAAUCUUUGCCUUUUUUUUUUUAUUUUACAGUCUACAAGCUGACAGCAUCUCUAAAGUGUUGACUUCAGCAAAGUUUAGGGCUGAUUACAAUUAUUUCUUAAGCAAAGUCUUGCAGGUAAGGUGGGCAGAAUUUGUAUUUAUGCAGAAAAAUAGGAUGCCAGCCAACCAAGCAUGAAUAUAAAGAAGGAAAGAUAUUUUGAGGUAAAGAGUAAAAAAAUACACUUAGGAUUGAUUAUUUUUUUCCAGGUUAAGAGUUCUGAAGAAGAGAUGUUUCAUUAUUUCUGUUCUAUCAGCAAAUGGUCAUUAUCUCAAUAGGAGCUUUAAGCUCUGAUCUGUGCAAAUUUGUACAUGAAAGCUUGAGUCUUCCAGUGCUGCCUGAGAGUGUGAGAUUAGCUACAUUGUGUAAACUUCAGGAGGAAUUGUUUAUUUUCUGAAAUCUACACCACACUUGCUUUCUCCUGAGCUCCUCUUCUUUCCAGCCCAUCUCAGCUUCUCAGUUGGCAAAUGGCCUCAUCCAUUCUGUCACUUUUAGAAAACUGCCUUUCUGCUUCCUAGUACUUCAGGACAGGAGUAGCCAUGAGACAUUGUCAGUUCUGUCAGUCUGACACAAGAUUUUACAGUUUUACCAUUUCUUGCAUGCACACUGACCUGUGCAAUCCAAGCAGGAGCUGUGUUAUAUCUUCAUAUCCCAGGCAAAUUUGCAAGAAGACCUUAAUAGAGUCUUUAGCUUCUCAAAUGCAGUGUACCCAGGAGAUUAAAUGAGAGGAGGAAACAUAUGCGUCUGAAAAUGGAGGUGAACCAUCUGUGUGCUUCACACAAGCAAGAACCUCCAUUUUCUAAGGAUGGGGAGGCCUGACCACUUCCCAGUCGUCCAGAAAACCAUUAACAGACUCCUUCCCCCAAAUGGGUUUGAGCUGACCCCUUGUAGGUUAGAGAGAUCAGCUGACAAACAUCACCACAAAGCAAGACUAUCCCAUAUUUGCACACCCCUGUAUCCAGUACAUUCCAGGCAAAAUCGUCCUGCCGUGAAAGACAGUGAGCUUCUAGCUUUUGUAAAUAUUUAAUUGUUGUGUGUAGCAGCUUCUGAAAUAAGAUUAGCUAGCUCAUUGCAGUCACAUCAUCUGCACAAGUCUUACUCUGAUGAGACAGCACUAUAAGGACAUAACUAACAUAGGACUUUUGUAUGUGCAAUACUUUAUAUUACUUAUAUACCUGAAGCAUGUUUACACUGGCAUUUGUGUUUGUUUUUUAAACUUUUGAAUAUAGUGAUAAUGAUUACAAUAAAGAAAAAAAAUAUUAGGAACGAAAAUUUAAACAAACACAGCUCUGUUCAGUAUUUGUUGCAAUGUGUUUUCAAUCCUACAUUGCUCUGAGGAUGGGACUAGGUGACCUAAUAAGUUCUUUGCAGUUGUAACAUCUAUAGUUCACUUUUGAGCAAUUACUCUCCAUUUUAAUGAUGGGCAAAACAUGUUCAGAUACUAAAUUUAAACAAUAAAGAACCUCAGUGACUCUUGA